GACGAACGCUGGCGGCGUGCUUAACACAUGCAAGUCGAACGGAAAGGCCCUGCUUUUGUGGGGUGCUCGAGUGGCGAACGGGUGAGUAACACGUGAGUAACCUGCCCUUGACUUUGGGAUAACUUCAGGAAACUGGGGCUAAUACCGGAUAGGAGCUCCUGCUACAUGGUGGGGGUUGGAAAGUUUCGGCGGUUGGGGAUGGACUCGCGGCUUAUCAGCUUGUUGGUGGGGUAGUGGCUUACCAAGGCUUUGACGGGUAGCCGGCCUGAGAGGGUGACCGGCCACAUUGGGACUGAGAUACGGCCCAGACUCCUACGGGAGGCAGCAGUGGGGAAUAUUGCACAAUGGGCGGAAGCAGGAUGCAGCAACGCCGCGUGGGGGAUGACGGCCUUCGGGUUGUAAACCGCUUUCGCCUGUGACGAAGCGUGAGUGACGGUAAUGGGGAAAGAAGCACCGGCUAAUUACGU
rnacentral:rRNA from 1 species